rnacentral:rRNA from 1 species
UUAAGCUAAGAAGAGCGUAGGGAGAAUGCCUUGGCAUUAGGAGCCGAUGAAGGACGUGAUAAGCUGCGAUAAGCUGCGGGGAUCAGCAAGUAUGAAUUGAUCCGCAGAUUUCCGAAUGGAGCAAUCCGUAUGUGUAUGCACAUACAUCAUAUACUGAAUCAAAUAGGUAUAUGAGGGGAACCGCCUGAACUGAAACAUCUAAGUAGGGCGAGGAAGAGAAAUCAACCGAGAUUCUGUGAGUAGUGGCGAGCGAAAGCGGAAGAGGCUAAACCAUAGGUAGCAAUACUUAUGGGGUUUCGGACAGCAUUUAGUAUUGAUAAUUUCUAGUUGAAACGUGUGGGAAAACGUACCGAAGAGUGUGAGAGUCACGUAAGCGAAAGAGAGAGUCAGCGAGCUGUAUCCAAAGUACCGCGGGACACGUGAAACCCCGUGGGAAGAUGGGGGGACCAUCCUCCAAGCCUAAAUACUACCUAAUGACCGAUAGCGAAUAGUACUGUGAAGGAACGGUGAAAAGAACCCCGGGAGGGGAGUGAAAAAGAACCUGAAACCCUAUGCUUACAAGCACCGAGAGCACGUCAAAGUGUGAUCGGGUACCUUUUGUAGAAUGGUCCGGCGAGUUAUUGUAUGCGGCAAGGUUAAGUGCUUAAGGCACGGAGCCGAAGCGAGAGCAAGUCUGAAUAGGGCGAAAAAGUCGUAUGCAAUAGACCCGAAACCGAGUGACCUAUCCAUGUCCAGGCUGAAGUGGAGGUAAAACUCCAUGGAGGGCCGAACACACGUCCGUUGAAAAGGCCGGUGAUGAGGUGUGGAUAGCGGAGAAAUUCCAAUCGAACUCGGAUAUAGCUGGUUCUCUCCGAAAUAGCUUUAGGGCUAGCCUCGUGAAAGAUUACUGGAGGUAAAGCACUGAAUGGGCUAGGGGUCGAAAGAUUACUGAACCCUAUCAAACUAAGAAUGCCAGAUAAUUGAUUCACGGGAGUCAGACAAUGUGAGAUAAGUCUCAUUGUCAAAAGGGAAACAGCCCAGACCCACAGCUAAGGUCCCUAAACAUUGUUAAGUGGAAAAGGAUGUGGGGUUGCAUAAACAACCAGGAUGUUGGCUUAGAAGCAGCCACUCAUUAAAAGAGUGCGUAAUAGCUCACUGGUCGAGUGACUCUGCGCGGAAAAUAUAACGGGGCUAAGCAUGCAACCGAAGCUUGGGAUUGUCUAAAGACAGUGGUAGGGGAGCGUCGUGUACGGGGUGAAGUCGCAGCGGAAGCAGCGGUGGACUGUACAGGAGUGAGAAUGCCGGAAUGAGUAGCGAGAAUUAUGUGGGAAUCAUAAUGGCCGAAAAUCUAAGGUUUCUUGGGGAAGGUUCGUCCGCCCAAGGUAAGCCGGGAGCUAAGGCGAGGCCGCAAGGCGUAGUCGAUGCACAUACGGUAGAAAUUCCGUAGCCGGCUCAAUCGUUAAGCAUACUGACACAUGAGAGUAGCUCUACCGGGCGUUGGUUGCCCCGGGCGUAAGCGAGCCGAAUGAGGCGAAGUGAGUAAAUCUUGUGGCGAGAAAAGGUGUGUGUAUUGGUUGGGCUGCCCGUACCGCAAACCGACACAGGUAGAUGAGGAGAAGAUCCUAAGGCCAUCGGGAGAAGGGUUGUUAAGGAACUAGGCAAAUUGACCCCGUAACUUCGGGAGAAGGGGUGCCUACGAGAGUAGGCCGCAGAGAAUCGGCCCAAGCAACUGUUUACCAAAAACACAGGUCUCUGCUAAAUCGAAAGAUGACGUAUAGGGGCUGACGCCUGCCCGGUGCCGGAAGGUUAAGAGGAGAGCUUAGCGCAAGCGAAGGUUUGAAUUGAAGCCCCGGUAAACGGCGGCCGUAACUAUAACGGUCCUAAGGUAGCGAAAUUCCUUGUCAGGUAAGUUCUGACCCGCACGAAAGGCGUAAUGAUUUGGGCACUGUCUC